CCUACGGGUGGCAGCAGUGAGGAAUAUUGGUCAAUGGGCGGGCGCCUGAACCAGCCAAGUCGCGUGAGGGACGACGGUCCUAUGGAUUGUAAACCUCUUUUGUCGGGGAACAAAGGCGCCCACGGGUGGGCGGAUGAGUGUACCCGAAGAAAAAGCAUCGGCUAACUCCGUGCCAGCAGCCGCGGUAAUACGGAGGAUGCGAGCGUUAUCCGGAUUGAUUGGGUUUAAAGGGAGCUUAGAUGGGUUGUUAAGUCAGUUGUGAAAGUUUGCGGCUCAACCGUAAAAUUGCAAUUGAUACUGGCAGUCUUGAGGACAGUUGAGGUAGGCGGAAUGCGGGGUGUAGCGGUGAAAUGCUUAGAUAUCACGAAGAACUCCGAUUGCGAAGGCAGCUUACUAAACUGCCACUGACAUUGAUGCUCGAAAGUGUGGGUAUCAAACAGGAUUAGAUACCCCAGUAGUC
rnacentral:rRNA from 1 species